GUGCUUGUAGCUCAGCCGGAUAGAGCAUCUGCCUUCUAAGCAGAGGGUCGGGGGUUCGAGUCCCUCCAAGCACGCCA
rnacentral:tRNA from 1 species